AGUUAAUGAACUUGAAUAAGUAUAUAUUUUGAAAAUAUAAAAUAGAAAAUUUUUUUCUAUUAACUU
rnacentral:tRNA from 1 species